AGAAACUUCCCGGCAGGUGUGUUGAGGCAAGUUGGAGUUAAACUCUGCAGGACACCGGCCCUCCAGGACCGAGUUUGGGAACCCUUGCAUUAAAACAUUAGUUAUCCUGAACUGAAACGGGAGGAAUUGUGUUCCACUGCAGAAAGAGAGGAGUAUGCUCAGAUAAAGGUCGGGAUUCGUUGAGUUUAUCAAAUAAUCGCACCUUACUGGAGAGAUUCUGUGGAUACUGAGGACUACUUCAAGCAGUUAGAACUGAAAUAUUUUCAGCUUGUGAGAGAUAAUAACUAAAGACUGAAAGUUCAAUGACAACGCCAGGUCGACCUGAAGAGGAUGACAGGCAGCGGACGAAAACAGCCAGAUGUGCCUAAACUAAAUAAACAUCAUCAUCUGGCCACACUUUUGACAGUAUUGUGCACUGAAGUGAGGGACUACAGGGAUGGAGUAUUAAGAAUUAUUAACAAGUCACAUGGUGUAACAUUUUCCUCACACCUUGAAUAAAUGUCUGUACAAUCUUAAUCAUUUUCAAAAAAGUUUUUGAAUGUAUUGUUUCAUGGUAAAAAUGUUCAUUUUUAAGAAUAAUAACAGUCAAGCAGUUGAGAUUUGUGUAGUAUGUCGCUUAAUAUGCUCAUGUUACAACAAGGAAAUGAUACAAUGUCCUGCACAUCAUGUUUAUUUUAGCAUUUUAUACAAAUCAGAUUGUUUCAAAGCAUCUUCAGAGUGUUUAACAGGAGCUUAACAGAAUCAAUUAUGCAAACCUCAAAAAUGAGGUAAAUCUAAAAGCAGCUGUAUGGAG